UCCGGUGGCCUAGUGGUUAGAGCGUCCACCUCAGAUGUGGGAGGUCGUGGGUUUGACACUCAGCAUUAAAAG